UGCUGGUGUGGAUGAGUGGCGAACGGGUGAGUAAUACGUGAGUAACCUGCCCUUGACUCUGGGAUAAGCCCGGGAAACUGGGUCUAAUACUGGAUGCUACAUGUCACCGCAUGGUGGUGUGUGGAAAGGGUUUACUGGUCUUGGAUGGGCUCACGGCCUAUCAGCUUGUUGGUGAGGUAAUGGCUCACCAAGGCGACGACGGGUAGCCGGCCUGAGAGGGUGACCGGCCACACUGGGACUGAGACACGGCCCAGACUCCUACGGGAGGCAGCAGUGGGGAAUAUUGCACAAUGGGCGAAAGCCUGAUGCAGCGACGCCGCGUGAGGGAUGACGGCCUUCGGGUUGUAAACCUCUUUCAGCAGGGAAGAAGCCACAAGUGACGGUACCUGCAGAAGAAGCGCCGGCUAACUACGUGCCAGCAGCCGCGGUAAUACGUAGGGCGCAAGCGUUGUCCGGAAUUAUUGGGCGUAAAGAGCUCGUAGGCGGUUUGUCGCGUCUGCUGUGAAAGUCCGGGGCUUAACCCCGGGUGUGCAGUGGGUACGGGCAGACUAGAGUGCAGUAGGGGAGACUGGAAUUCCUGGUGUAG
rnacentral:rRNA from 1 species